AAGCCUAGCCUUAAAAGUAGACAGGGUGUCUGCCUCACGGACUAAAACUGGUAGUUGGUUCCACAGGAGAGGAGCCUGAGAACUAAAAGAUCUGCCUCCCAUUCUACCUUACUGGGCCUUUUGGACUGGUUUUGCAUGGUUUACCUGGUCAUGCUGUAGUAUUGGAGCAAACUCUGUCUUCAGUUUGUUCAGGUGUUUACGAGGUCUGCAGCAACUGUUGACGGCCAGCGAGGAGGAAGGUUCCAGCUUCUUGAUGGCAGCAUCAGUGGAGAAUUCACAGAGCUGGUACCAGACCAGAGGAUAAAGAUGCGCUGGCGUUUCAGAACAUGGCCCAGUGAGCACUAUGCCACCAUCAUUCUGGACCUGCUGGAUCGAGGAGAUGAGACGGAGCUGAAGUUGGAGUGCCAAGAAGUUCCUGCAGGAGAAGAGGAGCCCACCAGGGAGGGCUGGAGUCGCUUUUACUUCCAGGCCAUUAAACAAACAUUUGGAUACUGAAGGAGACUCUGAUCUCUGAAGAACAUCUAAGGGGUUAAAAUGCAAACCAACAUUUUACUGUUAAUAUUCUCUGGAUGAAGAAAUAUUUAAACAGAAGGAAAUGCUUUGAUGAAAUCUCCUGCUGCUGGUUUCUGUCCAAGGUGGUUCCAGGAAGUGGGAACCCUGGAUGGGAAACUUCUGCUGGAAGUCAGACUGAAGAGAAGAGGUCCAUCAUGUCUGACUGUUUGCUCUAAUCCAGCUCUUCGUUUCAGGACCCUGAAUGCAGCCUGUUUUCUUUGCUAGCUGGAUUCACAAUUGUUUUCAGCAAAUGUGUAAAGAUGUGGGGAAAAGUAGCCGGGCUGCAGGAAGCAUGGAUAACAUCCACUAUCCUGCAAGAUGUGCCUUUGGUCCAACACACCUGAAUCUAACCGUUAGAUGAUUUAGAGGAUUCUGCUAACUGAGGAGGUAACUCUGCCGUUUGAUGCAGGUCUGUUGGACCAAGGAUGGAUCUGAAAGUUGCAGGAGGCCGACUCCCAGAAACUGGAAUUGCUUUAAUUCCCAGCAUAUUUGCAGAUUGCUGAACCAGAAAUGUUUUUAUCAAAACUGUCCUAAAAAUGUCUGCUGCAGAUCUGUGAUCACCGACGUUUCUGAAGCUUUUAGGUUUCAUUGCUCCCCAAUCAUUUAUGCAUUCUGUGUUUAAUGCGUCUUAUGUUUCAUUUAACUGGUGACCCCAAAAUGAAUUAACCGGACUAAAUGACUGCAGGCAGAUUGGUUAGAAAUGAGACCCUUUUUCUUCUGCUUGUUA